rnacentral:rRNA from 1 species
CCUACGGGGUGCAGCAGUGGGGAAUAUUGGACAAUGGGCGAAAGCCUGAUCCAGCCAUGCCGCGUGUGUGAAGAAGGCCUUCGGGUUGUAAAGCACUUUCAGUGGGGAAGAAAGCCUUGGGGCUAAUACCCUCGAGGAAGGACAUCACCCACAGAAGAAGCACCGGCUAACUCCGUGCCAGCAGCCGCGGUAAUACGGAGGGUGCGAGCGUUAAUCGGAAUUACUGGGCGUAAAGCGCGCGUAGGCGGUCUGAUAAGCCGGUUGUGAAAGCCCCGGGCUCAACCUGGGAACGGCAUCCGGAACUGUCAGGCUAGAGUGCAGGAGAGGAAGGUAGAAUUCCCGGUGUAGCGGUGAAAUGCGUAGAGAUCGGGAGGAAUACCAGUGGCGAAGGCGGCCUUCUGGACUGACACUGACGCGGAGGUGCGAAAGCGUGGGUAGCAAACAGGAUUAGAUACCCUAGUAGUC